CCCAACGAGAUCGGGAUAACACCUGGAAACAGAUGCUAAUACCGGAUAACAACAGAUGAUGCCUAUCAACUGUUUAAAAGAUGGUUCUGCUAUCACUCUUGGAUGGACCUGCGGUGCAUUAGCUAGUUGGUAGGGUAACGGCCUACCAAGGCGAUGAUGCAUAGCCGAGUUGAGAGACUGAUCGGCCACAUUGGGACUGAGACACGGCCCAAACUCCUACGGGAGGCAGCAGAU
rnacentral:rRNA from 1 species